rnacentral:rRNA from 1 species
CCUACGGGAGGCAGCAGUGAGGAAUAUUGGUCAAUGGACGAGAGUCUGAACCAGCCAAGUAGCGUGAAGGAUGACUGCCCUAUGGGUUGUAAACUUCUUUUAUAUGGGAAUAAAAUGUUCCACGUGUGGGCUUUUGUAUGUACCAUAUGAAUAAGGAUCGGCUAACUCCGUGCCAGCAGCCGCGGUAAUACGGAGGAUCCGAGCGUUAUCCGGAUUUAUUGGGUUUAAAGGGAGCGUAGGUGGAUUGUUAAGUCAGUUGUGAAAGUUUGCGGCUCAACCGUAAAAUUGCAGUUGAAACUGGCAGUCUUGAGUACAGUAGAGGUGGGCGGAAUGCGUGGUGUAGCGGUGAAAUGCUUAGAUAGCACGAAGAACUCCGAUUGCGAAGGCAGCUCACUGGACUGCAACUGACACUGAGGCUCGAAAGUGUGGGUAUCAAACAGGAUUAGAUACCCGUGUAGUC